AUUGAACGCUGGCGGCAGGCUUAACACAUGCAAGUCGAGCGGGGAAGGGUAGCUUGCUACCUAACCUAGCGGCGGACGGGUGAGUAAUGCUUAGGAAUCUGCCUAUUAGUGGGGGACAACGUUCCGAAAGGAACGCUAAUACCGCAUACGUCCUACGGGGGAAAGCAGGGGAUCUUCGGACCUUGCGCUAAUAGAUGAGCCUAAGUCGGAUUAGCUAGUUGGUGGGGUAAAGGCCUACCAAGGCGACGAUCUGUAGCGGGUCUGAGAGGAUGAUCCGCCACACUGGGACUGAGACACGGCCCAGACUCCUACGGGAGGCAGCAGUGGGGAAUAUUGGACAAUGGGCGCAAGCCUGAUCCAGCCAUGCCGCGUGUGUGAAGAAGGCCUUUUGGUUGUAAAGCACUUUAAGCGAGGAGGAGGCUCCUUUAGUUAAUACCUAAAGUGAGUGGACGUUACUCGCAGAAUAAGCACCGGCUAACUCUGUGCCAACCGCCGCCGUAAAAC
rnacentral:rRNA from 1 species